CGUCAAGACGCUCACUGGGAAGACAAUCACUCUCGAGGUGGAGAGCUCGGACACCAUCGACAACGUCAAAACAAAGAUCCAGGACAAGGAAGGAAUCCCACCGGACCAGCAGCGUUUGAUCUUUGCCGGGAAGCAGCUCGAGGACGGUCGGACCCUUGCGGAUUACAACAUCCAGAAGGAAUCAACUCUUCACUUGGUGCUUCGUCUUCGUGGAGGGAUGCAGAUCUUCGUCAAGACCCUGACUGGCAAGACCAUCACCCUUGAGGUGGAGAGCUCGGACACCAUCGACAACGUCAAGACUAAGAUUCAGGACAAGGAGGGUAUCCCCCCGGACCAGCAGCGCUUGAUCUUUGCCGGAAAGCAGCUCGAGGAUGGACGCACUCUGGCGGACUACAACAUCCAGAAGGAGUCGACGCUCCACCUGGUUCUCAGGCUUCGUGGUGGGAUGCAAAUCUUCGUGAAGACCCUGACAGGCAAGACCAUCACUCUCGAGGUGGAGAGCUCGGACACCAUCGACAACGUCAAGACAAAGAUCCAGGACAAGGAGGGAAUCCCACCUGACCAGCAGCGUCUCAUCUUUGCGGGGAAGCAGCUCGAGGAUGGACGCACCCUGGCGGACUACAACAUCCAGAAGGAGUCGACGCUCCACCUGGUGCUUCGUCUUCGUGGUGGGAUGCAAAUCUUCGUGAAGACCCUGACAGGCAAGACCAUCACUCUCGAGGUGGAGAGCUCGGACACCAUCGACAACGUCAAGACAAAGAUCCAGGACAAGGAGGGAAUCCCACCUGACCAGCAGCGUCUCAUCUUUGCGGGGAAGCAGCUCGAGGAUGGUCGAACUCUUGCAGACUACAACAUCCAGAAGGAGUCGACUCUCCACUUGGUGCUUCGUCUUCGUGGAGGGAUGCAGAUCUUUGUCAAGACCCUGACUGGCAAGACCAUCACCCUUGAGGUGGAGAGCUCGGACACCAUCGACAACGUCAAGACCAAGAUCCAGGACAAGGAAGGAAUCCCUCCGGACCAGCAGAGGCUGAUCUUUGCCGGCAAGCAGCUCGAGGAUGGACGAACUCUAGCCGAUUACAACAUCCAGAAGGAGUCGACGCUCCACCUGGUGCUUCGUCUUCGUGGAGGGAUGCAGAUCUUCGUCAAGACACUCACUGGGAAGACGAUCACUCUGGAAGUUGAGAGCUCGGACACCAUCGACAACGUGAAGACUAAGAUCCAGGACAAGGAGGGCAUCCCCCCGGACCAGCAGCGCCUCAUCUUUGCGGGGAAGCAGCUCGAGGAUGGUCGCACCCUGGCGGACUACAACAUCCAGAAGGAGUCGACGCUCCACCUGGUGCUUCGUCUUCGUGGAGGCAUGCUUGCCUGAUCCAACGAUAAGUUUCAUGACGAUGGCAAAGCUUUCUCUUGUAUCAUGAAAAUCUUAUUCGAAUAGAGGAAGCAAUGUUAUUACAAGUUUCUAA
rnacentral:lncRNA from 1 species